CAUUGGCUACCUGCAGGCAAAUUAUCCAAGGAGCCACAUAUUGAAGGGUUGAAUCUUGGAGGUUUGAUUAGAGCAUUAGCAGUCUGCAGGCAGCCAGUUGUUACAAAGGCCUGCAGCCCAGAAAUACACUUAACACUAUCAGGAAAGAGACCAGAGAGGGAAGAGAGAACAAAAAUAAU